CCUACGUGUGGCUGCAGUGAGGAAUAUUGGUCAAUGGCCGGAAGGCUGAACCAGCCAUGCCGCGUGAAGGUCAGUGCCCUAUGGGCGUUAAACUUCUUUUAUAAAGGAAUAAAGUGAGGCACGUGUGUCUUUUUGUAUGUACUUUAUGAUUAAGGAUCGGCUACCUCCGAGCCAGCAGCCGCGGUAAUACGGAGGAGCCGAGCGUUAUCCGGAUUGAUUGGGUUUAAAGGGAGCGUAGAUGGGAUGUUAAGUCAGUUGUGAAAGUUUGGGGCUCAACCGUGGAAUUGCAAUUGAUAUUGGCAACCUUGAGUAUGGUUGAGGUAGGCGGAAUUCGUGGUGUAGCAGUGAAAUGCUUAGAUAUCACGAGGAACUCCAAUUGCGAAGGCAACCUACUAAACUGCCACUGACAUUGAUGCGCGAAAGUGUGGGUAGCAAACAGGAUUAGAUACCCCUGUAGUC
rnacentral:rRNA from 1 species